rnacentral:rRNA from 1 species
UACGAAGGGGGCUAGCGUUGCUCGGAAUCACUGGGCGUAAAGGGCGCGUAGGCGGCUUGGGAAGUCCGUGGUGAAAGCCCGAGGCUCAACUUCGGGUCGGCCAUGGAUACUCCUAAGCUCGAGUCGACUAGAGGCUAAUGGAAUUCCGGGUGUAGCGGUGGAAUGCGUAGAGAUCCGGAAGAACACCGGUGGCGAAGGCGGUUAGCUGGGGUCGGACUGGACGGCUGAGGCGCGAC